rnacentral:rRNA from 1 species
UACGUAGGGGGCAAGCGUUGUCCGGAAUCAUUGGGCGUAAAGCGCACGUAGGUGGUCCGCUAAGUCGCGUGUGAAAUCCCCCGGCUCAACCGGGGAAUUGCGCGCGAUACUGGCGGACUAGAGAUCGGGAGGGGUGAGUGGAACUCCAGGUGGAGCGGUGAAAUGCGUAGAUAUCUGGAGGAACACCGGUGGCGAAAGCGACUCACUGGCCCGACACUGACACUGAGGUGCGAAAGCUAGGGUAGCAAACGGG